AGCGAACGCUGGCGGCAGGCUUAACACAUGCAAGUCGAGCGGGCACUUUCGGGUGUCAGCGGCGGACGGGUGAGUAACGCGGGGGAACGUGCCCUCUGGUUCGGAAUAACUCAGGGAAACUUGAGCUAAUACCGGAUACGCCCUUUUGGGGAAAGGCUUGCUGCCGGAGGAUCGGCCCGCGUCUGAUUAGCUAGUUGGUGAGGUAACGGCUCACCAAGGCGACGAUCAGUAGCGGGUCUGAGAGGAUUGUCAGCCACACUGGGACUGAGACACGGCCCAGACUCCUACGGGAGGCAGCAGUGGGGAAUAUUGGACAAUGGGCGCAAGCCUGAUCCAGCCAUGACGCGUGAGUGAUGAAGGUCUUAGGGUUGUAAAGCUCUUUUAUCCGGGACGAUAAUGACGGUACCGGAGGAAUAAGCCCCGGCUAACUUCGUG
rnacentral:rRNA from 1 species